GAAUUUGAGGACAUACAGUGAAGACCCCGGGGGACCGGCCCGCUGUCGGGCCCCCGGGUCAUUUUAUUAGUAAUCGAUAAAUUUAAAAAUUGAUAAAAUCGUAGUGAUCGUGAUUCGUUCUGAAACUAAUAAAUGAAGCAAGAGCUAUCUGCUGUAGAGGAAAUGGUGUGCUUUCACCUACGCGGUGUCUUUUUCUCUCUACGCUGUAAAAUUUAACUUAAGAAUAAAGAACAAUAUUUUGGAAUACAGCUAUCGUCCAAAAAUUUCCGACAUUGUAGCAGCCCAGGGCAAAAUUCAACUGAUGGAGACAUCAAUAAAAUUUGACCCAAUUUCAUCAACAUUAAUCUCGCAGAAUGGCAACUCAGGUGACCAACAGAAGUUACUUUCUAAACUCCCAAAGAUAGGAUUAAACUUAGGUCGUACGUAAAAGUAGUUUAGGAAUUUAGCACUUAGUUUCGUAUUUACUGUAUAUUUAAUAGGUAUUUUUUUCUUUGAAUAGGACUUAUAAUAGUUUUUAUAAGGUUCAUUUCAUUCAUUUACGCAGGAUAAGGACAUUUCAAUUUAAGAGCGUCUCGGUUCAAAACAAUUUAAUUUUUGGAUCAGGAGUGCCUUAAUGAUCGGUAUUGUUACUUACCGGUCAAGUUACCAAAUUAAGUUUGUUUUGCUGUUAAGUUUCUACUACGACAUAUGGUUAUUGUUAAUUGUUUUGUUAGAAUGGACAGACAGUUUUGUUGAUUACUGUUAAAAGACUGAGCAGUAAAAUAUGUUUCAACUAAGAUCAAACUUCAAAUUAAUUUUAAAAAAUAUAAAAAUAAUCAUACUUAUUGUUGAAAAUUUCUUUCUUGUUAGCUUUGCUCUAGUACUGUUAAGUUUUCCUAUCUUGUUAAAAAGCUAUCGUUACUUCUUUAAAAAAUCACCAAAAUGUUCAAUUAACUUUUUGUUGUUAUUGUUUUUAACUUCACCAGCUGGCCUGGUAUUAUUUUAAGUUUUUGUUUAAUAACCACCAAAGCAGUUGAUUUUUCGUUUAAUUAGUUUUUGUUCAUGGAUGCGAUUAAUCAAAAAUCAUUUCGAGUUUAUGUUUUCUUGUUUGAGGAAGACGAGAUUAAUGUACUCUCUCCGAAAUUGUUUCAAUGUUUAAGUGUUGAUUUUUAGUUUUGUUACUUAACCAGUUAUGUUUGUUAUUUCACGUCUCGUUGAUUUGAUUGUUAUAAAUCAGUUGAGUUUUUGUUUUACCUACUUUUGUACGAGACCUACUUUUGAUUGUAUUGAAUACUCAUUACAAUUAAAAGUAGGUCUCGUACAAAAUACUAAACCAUUAUGUUCAUUAACUGUCAACUUGUUUUUGUACUUACAACUGCUUUCGUUAAGUUUUGAUGUUACCCGGUUAGUUGAAUUAAUUGUUAGAAAUCAGUUGAGUUUUUGUUUUAUUCUUUCAAAAAACAGAUCUUAACUUCUAAACUCGGAAAUUCCAUUUUUGAACACAAAAUUGCAACAUGUUAUUUUACAGUUUAGCACAGAAAAACCUGAACCAUACCUGCCCAUUGUAGAUCAGACUUAUUUGCGCUCGACUACAAUACAAUUACUUUCGUCAAGUUUUACUAUUACCUGGUUAGUUGAUUUAGUUGUUAUUGGUUGAGUUUUUGUUUAAUUCAAUUAAAAUAGGCCUUGUACGCAAAAAAUAUGUAAAAUUUAAAAAAGACCACUAAAUUACAAAUGCUGCAAUAUUGUAUAUAAUUAUACUCUACAAUAUUUCUACUUCGAACACAUUUCGUAGCACACCAUAUGAAUCCAUAUUUACUUGAAACAAUCACAUUGUGCCUUAUAAACCUAAAGUGCCUGAUUUGGUUUCAUUCAAUUUCUUACCAGUAUCUCUUUGUUUUUAUGUUAUUUUUGGCCUUCUGAUAUGGUUUGUGUCUAUCAUUAACCUUAUCAGAACGCCCUUAAUUUUUUUAUGCAUCGUAACUCAACCUUUAUCGCUUUUUUGACAUUUGUCGAACAAGAAGUGUUCAAUUAUGUUCAAGCGAUAGGUAUCUUUUGAGAUAAAAAAGAAUUGAAAUAUUUUUAUGAGUUAUCAAUGCGUUAAAAACUUAAAAUGUGUGUACAGUCCGAUGAUUGUUUUCUCCCUAUCAACCUUCGUAAAGUAUAUUUUCACUUUCAUUGAUGUAAUAUUGAACUGAAAUAAAUAUAUUAUCAGUAUUUUUUGUAGAUUUCCAUAAUUUGCAGGAUAACUAUCUAAAUCAACAUCAUCAUAUUUUGGGGCAAAAUAAUCGUUGCACUUUGUUAAUAAUGUUGUGUAUUUGUUAUAUAUUGUUAUCGUGUUGUUAUACAUCAAGUUGUUUUUGUUUCUUGUUAAUUCGUUUUAAGCGUUGAUUUGUUGUUAAGUUUUGUGAUAUGUUCGUUAAUUAUUCAAAUGGCUGUGUUUGUUAAUUUUAUGUUAAGUUUUCAUUUUGACCAUCGUUCAUUGUUUUCCGACAUUAAGGCCAUUCUUUCAUUGUAAUUUAAUUGUAAUGUAUACAUAUUUAGAUUUAGGUUCGUUUACUUCUAUAGAUAAGUUGAAACUGAAGCUUUGUGUAAAAUUAACAAAUAAGGUAAGGAUUAUUUAUUAGGGACGUCUGUCAGUUGUGUAUAGGUAUGUGUAUGUGUGAAGAGUGAAUAAAGAAAACAAGAACA